rnacentral:rRNA from 1 species
GAUGAACGCUGGCGGCGUGCCUAAUACAUGCCAGUCGAGCGAACAGACGAGGAGCUUGCUCCUCUGACGUUAGCGGCGGACGGGUGAGUAACACGUGGAUAACCUACCUAUAAGACUGGGAUAACUUCGGGAAACCGGAGCUAAUACCGGAUAAUAUAUUGAACCGCAUGGUUCAAUAGUGAAAGACGGUUUUGCUGUCACUUAUAGAUGGAUCCGCGCCGCUUUAGCUAGUUGGUAAGGUAACGGCUUACCAAGGCAACGAUGCGUAGCCGACCUGAGAGGGUGAUCGGCCACACUGGAACUGAGACACGGUCCAGACUCCUACGGGAGGCAGCAGUAGCGAAUCUUCCGCAAUGGGCGAAAGCUUGACGGAGCAACGCCGCGUGAGUGAUGAAGGUCUUCGGAUCGUAAAACUCUGUUAUUAGGGAAGAACAAAUGUGUAAGUAACUAUGCACGUCUUGACGGUACCUAAUCAGAAAGCCACGGCUAACUACGUG